UGUCAAUGGAGAGCAUUCCUCACCACCCUUUCACGUAGGGACUCAAGGUUACUUCUCCUGCUCAAAGAUGUUUGAGAUUCAGGUAACUCGUGAAACCGGAAAGAACCUCAAAGAAUUCAUGGAUCAGGGAAUCUGGAGCUGGAUAACUUCGAAAAUCUUUGCUCUCCAAGACCUUGGGCUCUGCUAAUUUAGAGGUCUACAUAUGCUCAGGAAGAAUGUUUCCACCAGAGCAAAUCACAGAGAUCCCACUUAUUUGGAAACUGAGACCAAUUUCAGACUGGCCAUUUCAGACUCCACAUGCCCUGGAUGAACAGGGGAAAAAAAAGCAAGGGGUCAGGGGGUUGUUCUGUGUUGGCUGGAGUGACUGAUUCUGGUUGUCAAGGGGGAAAUAUAGUUGCUGCUGCAUAGUGGGGACAGGGAGACGUGUGUCUCUGGAUCCCCUGAAAUCCUCUGGGGUGCUUUCUAAUUCCAAGGCUGGUGGUAAAAGUCAAUGGAAGAGGACAGCAAACCAGAAUGAGCAGGACCACUGUGGGCUCAGAUUCCUCCUGAAUGAAGCUCAGAUCAUCCUAUGAGGUAAAAACCCUGACUACACGAGGUGUUGCUGAAGGCAAAGGGAAUGUGGAAUAAAUAGUACAGGAAAGAUGUUAUAAAUGCCUCAUCACCUGUGACA